rnacentral:rRNA from 1 species
AGUAACGGCGAGUGAAGCGGGAAAAGCUCAAAUUUAAAAUCUGGCGGUCCCUGUGGCCGUCCGAGUUGUAAGUUAGAGAAGUGUUAUCCGCGCUGGACCGUGUACAAGUCCCUUGGAAUAGGGCAUCAUAGAGGGUGAGAAUCCCGUCUUUGACACGGACUGCCAGGGCAUUGCGAUGCGCUCCCGAAGAGUCGAGUUGUUUGGGA